CUUGCCUCUGUGAACUUAGAGGGUCUUAACCAGCAGCAGAAGCUUGCCUUUUGGAUUAACACCUAUAAUUCUUGCAUAAUGAAUGCACUUUUGGAGCAUGGAAUACCAGAGACUCCAGAAAGGGUUGUAGCUCUAAUGCAAAAGGCCGAAAUAGUCAUUGGGGGAUGCAUACUCAAUGCAAUGACAAUAGAGCAAUUCAUCUUGCGACUAUCUUAACACCUGAAGUUUAUGCGUUCGAAGGCUGUCGUCGAAAGUUACGAAGCUGGUCGUCUCCUCCUGUAAGUUCGCAAUUUAAGGGUACAUUCGAAUAACCAGCUCUGAAGACGACUAUUUUCCGUUCAUUGAAUGCAUUGUAUGAAUGAAAGGAAGGUUGAGAGUAUACAUAGGAAGUCAUGUGGAGGAAGAGUUGGAAGAGUUUGUUUCAAGUCAUUCCUAAGAUUUGCUUUUAAACAAGUUGGAUUCAUGAAGUUGAAAAUGCUGUUCAGAGUGUAUAGAUAGAUACAUGUGAAUGA